CGUGUCGCCGGCCAGCAGGUUCGAGGCCGUCGUCUCGAAUGCGACGAAGCCGCCGCCGUCGCUCGAGUCCGGGCUCGACGACGCGCC
rnacentral:tRNA from 1 species